rnacentral:rRNA from 1 species
UACGGAGGGCGCGAGCGUUGUUCGGAAUUACUGGGCGUAAAGCGCGUGUAGGCGGCCUAACAAGUCGAAUGUGAAAUCCCGGAGCUCAACUCCGGAACUGCAUACGAUACUGUUAGGCUCGAGUCCCGGAGAGGAUGGCGGAAUUUCCGGUGUAGAGGUGAAAUUCGUAGAUAUCGGAAGGAACACCAGUGGCGAAGGCGGCCGUCUGGACGGUGACUGACGCUGAGACGCGAAAGCGUGGGGAGCAAACAGG